UACGUAGGGGGCAAGCGUUGUCCGGAUUUAUUGGGCGUAAAGAGCGUGUAGGCGGCCUGGUAGGUCAGUUGUGAAAACUCGAGGCUCAACCUCGAGACGCCGAUUGAAACCAUCAGGCUAGAGUCCGGAAGAGGAGAGUGGAAUUCCCGGUGUAGCGGUGAAAUGCGCAGAUAUCGGGAAGAACACCCGUGGCGAAGGCGGCUCUCUGGGACGGUACUGACGCUGAGACGCGAAAGCGUGGGGAGCGAACGAGG
rnacentral:rRNA from 1 species